rnacentral:lncRNA from 1 species
CAGAAUAACGUGGAGGGCUCAUUAAAACGCACUUUUUUGGGCUCCACUUCUACAGUUGUUGCUUCAGCAGCCCUGGGGUGGGCCCUGGGAAUCUGCAUUUCUAACAAGUUCCCAGGUGCCGCUCCUGGUGCCGGUUGGACUCAACUUUGAGAACCACUGGUCUGAGGUCAAGGAUGGUCUUUGAAAUCACAGAUAGAUCUUUAUUAAUUUGUUAUUUAUCAAGCCAUUAACCUCUCUGAAUCUCAGUUUCUUCAUCUGUAAAAUGGGGUUAAUGACAACCUGGUCAGACUGUUUGAAGAUUCAGCAGAUGAAGUCUGUGAAAAUUCCUGGAACAGAUGAUCAACAAAACAAUACGUCAAGCCCUGAUUUGUAGCCUUUGCCAGUUUCAGUGGCGUAAAUACUCCCAUUGCUAUGUAUUUAGGCCGUUCCUCUGACUUGCGACUUAGGCCAUUGUUCAUCAGUGUCGGGGAAGGACGUCCAGAUGGGAUAUUCCUGGCUCCCAGUGGCUCGCCCUUGCUUCCAAUCUCUGUUUUCCAAAUUGGGACUAUCAGGUAAAGAUUUAAGUGUGAGAAACAGCGUGAUGUCAGCAGAGGGGAGAAAUGAAACUAGAUGUAAUGAAAGUAACUAGGCCCUUGACUUCUUGGCUGAUGCCUGCCCGUGUUGGGGAGGACCGUCUGCUCUGCUAGAAUCUGUGCAUGCUCACCCUCCACCCAAGCCGCUCUAGGUGUCUACUCCUGCUCCCCCUUCAGAGUUCUCAACUGUCCUGGGGGAAGCCUCCGUUGACCCCUGAAGUUAGGUCAGAGGCCCUGUUCUGUGAAUCCCUUGACCCUGGACUCCUCUGGCGUCAUCGCAAAGGAGAUGGCUCAGAUGUGGAGGCUGAAAGAGAAACCUGAGAAAGAAAAGCAGAGGGAGGAGAAGCGGAUGAGGAAUCUUGUCAUCGAUGCUGCGGCACCAUUCCGUUCUUCGGUGUCUGUGCUGCUGUGACAUCAUAUCCUGUUGAUAAGGGACCCUUGCCACAUCCCAG